rnacentral:lncRNA from 1 species
AUGCACAUGGGCACACACAGACACACAUGCAUACAAAUACCCACGUGCUCACAUAGCAGCCUCCCCAUCCUCAGAACCCUUUUGCACCCUGCAGUCCUCUGCAGCCACAGUGUCAGAGCCCUGGUCUCUACGUCUUCACCACAUCAGAAUCCCAAGUCAGGAGACCCCAAUGCACCGCCAGCCAGGACCUGGCCCCCUACACAUUCAGUGGCUGGGGUGCUGGUGCCUGGUGGAAAAAGGAGUAAAGCUGAUGUAGUGUGUGUAGCCAGCAGGAAUGUGGGCAAAUGGGGCCAGUCCCCGGGAGGACAGAAGUUCCUUCUAAAAUGGUCCCAACUCAGCUGUGAGGUCUCCUUUUUCAGCUCCUGCUCCAGCAGAGCCCAACCAGCCCACCACACUGGCCCUGGAGGCAGGAGGUCCUACCAUAAUUAG